UGGAAACGGGCUGCUUGCUGCUCCAGCUGUGAUAAGCGCACAGUAUUCAGUGCAGCUUCCAGGCAAGGGUGCGCUGUACUGAUAGCUGCUGGUUCAGCCUGAGCACAUGGACUUCCCUGGUGUCGCGCUCACAGCGCACCCUCGAGCAGCCCUCUUGGUUCUGGUGCGGGGAAGAGACUCCAGCUUCCCCCCUCCAAGGAAAACUGACCCAAGGAAUUUUCCUUUCCUCAGCAACAAAUUCAGACUCAGCUGCAGCUGCUAAGGGGAGAGAGGAAGAGGCUUGAAACACUGCGAGGGAGUGAAAGUCAGAAACACCAGGAAUACCAGCAAAAGGCAGCAGCCGAGAGGCAGAAGAUUGUGGCUGUGUUUGAGCGACUGCGCCGGUUUCUGGAGGAACAAGAGCGAUUCGUUCUGGCCGAGGUGGAGAGGGGGAUUGAGAAGAGUCGGGGGGGAGACUGUCACCCAACUCUCCAAGGAGAUUUCCCAUCUCAACAACCUGAUCAAAGAGCUGGAGGGGAAGUGCCAGCAGGCAGCCAGUGACCUCCUGAAGGACAUGAGGAGCAUGCUGAGCAGGUACGUGGCUCUACCCCACUUCCCAUAGAGGGAAGGGUCUUGGGGACAAUGCAAUGGGCACAUCUCUGCAGGGCACCACAGCAGAGCAAGAGCUGGGACUGUCUCUGAGGUGGUAAUGUUACGCCUCAGCUCUGUAUUCUUGGGCAACCCUGGCACAGGAUGCAGUCUGUCUGACUCGCAAGGACUCCCCCCUCCCCACCCCCCUCCCCUCCUCUACCUAAACGAAACUGCUUAAGAUGCAGUGAGAGAUGCACCUGAAACUCUCCAGAUAAGGGUGAUAAGAGUGAACAACUGCCCUCGGUCUCAUUUGCAUCUGAGAUGGAACCAGAUGACCAUUCAUUUACAUGAGAGAUGGAAAACAGAAAGCCUGAAGCAGAGACUGCAGUGAAUUCUGGGACCAGAGAAGCAGGAGAGCACUGCAUGAUGGGGAAUCUGUGCUUCCAAUGUUAAUCAACCCAUGUUCACACACACCCAGCUCAGGAUUUAUCAGACCAGUUCUCAUCUGGAUUUGCUAAGGACUCCCCCCCCCCCAGACACCCACACACAGCUCUAAGUUUAAUAGGCAUCUCGGGCCGUACAUUCCCCGGUCCCACUAUGGGAGGCCUAUUUAAACUUGAUUGACUAAAACUCGGUUGCCGGGUUAGGGAAUGCUGAGGCAAGAGACUGAGUCCGAGGGGGUAUGGGCAACAUUUGAACAAUGGUUAAGGGUUCAUCACAGCAUCCAGCCUGCUGGAGCCCUAAUCCCAGGUGUUGUCGUAUCUUUCCCGAGACGACUGGUGGAAGUCCUCUCCACAAAAGGUUAUGAGCACCCCAAUAAUUGCUUUAAAUCUGGAAAAGUCAUGCUAAGCUGAGGCUUGUGCACAACAAGUAAAAAUCCAAAAUCCUGAUGCUGCAAGCUAUCUAUUCUUCCUGAAGAAACCAUGAGAUAUCCCAUCAGUAUAUCUGCCAUCCAUAGGAAUCUCAAGCUGGCUCCCAAGUAUUUGGGUUACUCCCUAAUCUUAAGUGUUUCCUGAUUAUCAAUCAGUUUCCUGAGAUGGUCCAAACCAGAUAACCCCUUGUCAAUAGAAAAGACAAUGAUUUACACUACUGAGGGUGCUUCAAAGCAGCUGAACUGAGGGUAUAAAAAUCUGUAAGUGUGUGUGCUUAAGAAGAGAAAGAAAGAAAAAGAAGAAGCAGGAGGAAAGAGGGAGAAAAGGAAAGAAGAAGAAAACUCCUGUGCUGACACCAUCCCCUGUCAUUCUUGGGACGCUGGAAGAACAGAUCAUCUCUCUCUUCAAGGACUGUGCUACGGACUGUGCCUGUCAGCUUUGCAGCCUGCGUACCGUGGACUAGGUGCAAGGAGGACCAGUUCCAACCACCAGAGGGGAUAUGCCCAGAGCUGGAUAUGAGACUCAGCAUCUUGUCCUGAAAAAGUGUAGCUCUACAGGAGACUUAGAAGAAGUUUCAAGAGACUCUGCUGUGUGACCUGGAGAAGGGCAAAGGGGGACCACAGGGAUCAUACACAAGGGUGGUGGUGACUCUGGAUCCAGACACAGCAAAUCAUGACCUCGUCGUGUCUACGGAUCGGAGAAGUUUGAGAUGGGCAAUCACACAGUGGUAUCUGCCCAACAGUCCUGAGAGAUUUGACUCUGAGCUGUGUGUGCUGGGCCGUGAGGGGUUCACCUUGGGUAGACGCUGCUGAGAGGUGGAGGUGGGGGCAAGGGGCUGGGCCGUGGGGGU